GAUGGGAACUCCUCUGGUGCAAAACACAAUAGGAAGCACAAGAUCCAGUUCCCAGGCUGGAGAGGGCGGGGCCCUUCAGACCCACCCUGAGUGGGCGGUGACCACAGGCGGCUCCCUGCCUCUGUGACGUCACGGAAGCCCCGCCCACAGCUGUCAGCCACUGUCCAUACCAAGUUGUGUGCUGGCCAGGAAGUUGCUCCUUUCUGGGGUCAUGAUGGGCAGCAAGAUGGCGUCUGCCACCGGGUUGCCCAGAAUUAAAACAUGCUUCUGAAAGUCAGCUUCUAAAACUACAAACCGAGAAUAAAAAACCUGAGAAAGGAGCUGGACAGUAUGGAAAAUUCAGACAAGAUAAAGCCCAUGCAACAAAGCCUACAGAAAGAGAUGAAGCUUGCUACAGUUACUCAACAUGUGUUCCAGCACAGUGGUGAUCUCUGAACCUAGCAAGGAUCCAGAUUCCCUGUCAUUAUGAUGCUUCAUCGAUCCUCCCCAGGUGUAACCACAUGCACAGGAGAGGUCCUGAACUGCUGCCACCUGUGUGGUCCACAGUUCAGGCAGAAAAAAGGCAGAAGAGGAAAUGUUGACAUCAACAGACUUCCACUUACAUAUAUUUAAGAAGAACUUUUUCAAAUGGC